UCUUAAUUUCUUCUCCAUCCUCAAUAUUCAUAUGAGGAAGUUCUCUCAGUUGAGGGGAAUGUUGUCUGGCUCGAGGUCACCAAUUAGAUCCAUGACUCUUCCAUUUUAUGCCUUUCAAAAAGAUUAGUUGAUUUUAAUAUGAAAAAGGGGUUAUGGAUCAUGUGUUAGUGUUGUCGGACCAGGCUUCAUUCCCCCCAAUUGUUUCUUCCUCCAAGGUUGAAGUUAGAGGAGUGAAAGAGAUUUAUUUGAAUCGUAAUAUAUAUAUAUAUAUAUAAGGCUACCAUUCUUUUAUUUAUGUAUAUACCGUAAAUAAUGAACCUUCUUGUUGAAAAUUUUGCCUUCGCUAUAUGUACAGAUUUUGAAAAAGGUAAGCUUAUUUUUUAUGUGAGAUCUUGAUAUAUAUGAGAAUAGUUUUUGUAGGUUGUGGGAUUUGGUCAUUAUAAGGUAAUGUUGAUGGACUAGAGCAGAUUGGUGUAAUGAUGAAGUUUUUUGACUCCUUCCACUUUUCUGCCACGGCAUCAGGCAUGGGAAUUAAUAAUCUUUAAAUAUAAAAUAUCGCAACUUAUAUUGUGGAUAAGAUCUUGUGAGAUCAUCAUACAUAGAUCUAUGCUAAUAAAAUUUCUUCACACGAAGAAGAAGUCAUUCCUCAUUUCUGUUUCACUUUUUGGGUUAAAACUAUAGAAAGUGUGCAGGAAUAUUUUCAUUCUAAGCUUUGGUAAAACUGGCGUAAGAUUUCUUUUCUGCUGAAGAAUGAUCAGAAAUUAACUUUUCAAAGAUCUAUACUCUUGGCCACGGAGUACGUUUGAUUUUGAAGCAACUCACUUGCAGGACUUGUUGUUUACCAUAUUGUUUAAGUUAUGUAUACCCUCAUUCUAAAGAAUUUUGUAACACUAUCAGGUUAUUCAAAGGAUAAUUGCUCCUAGUAAAUUCUCUAAAAUGUGAAAUUGGUAAUCUUGAAAAUAUGACAAGUUACUAUAACAUGUAAAGGUGAAAUGAUAGAGUAAUUUCUUUUUAACUUACAAUGUAUAUAACUUAAUAAUUUCUCAAUCAACUUGUUAGUGAAUCAUUGUUUACCAUAUACAUUACAAACCGUGAAGUUCAUCAAAUAGAGUGAUUUUCUAAAAAGUGUCAAUAAUAUUGUACUAUCAAUAUCAACAAAGAAACUAAUGAGCUGUGAUGGUAGAAAUUACAUAAUGGAUCUGGGGAUGAACUGGCAUGGAUGCAACAAUGCAUAUGCACUUUGGAAAUUGAAGCUGAAUCCUGUCGUCGCUUUGGCUCUAUUACAUUCUUGUGAUCUGCUCCUAUUGUUUGAUGGGAUGUCUUUGUACUAUGUUCAAACAUUCAGUAUAAAAACAGAAAAGGAAAACUUUUUUUUUUUUUUUUU